UUUCGAAAGAAAGAUUAAUACCUGAUAGUACUUAAGAAAGGCAUCUUUUUUAAGUUAAAGAUUUAUUGGUUAUGGAUGGGGAUGCGUUCCAUUAGAUAGUUGGUGAGGUAACGGCUCACCAAGUCUUCGAUGGAUAGGGGUUCUGAGAGGAAGGUCCCCCACAUUGGUACUGAGACACGGACCAAACUCCUACGGGAGGCAGCAGUGAGGAAUAUUGGUCAAUGGGCGAGAGCCUGAACCAGCCAAGUAGCGUGAAGGAUGACGG
rnacentral:rRNA from 1 species